rnacentral:ncRNA from 2 species
UUCACAAGAAGGUGUCUUUCAUG